ACGCUACGGACUUAAUUUUUGAGCCUUAGUAGGGAAAUCUACUAAGUGAUUGUUUUCACAUUCAGGGAAACCUAAGGUUUGAUAUAUGAGGUAAUCCUGAGCCAAAUUUUAAUUAUGAAAUAGGUGCAGAGACUCGAAGGAAACUAUCCUAACGAAAAAUUUUUUCUUUAUUUUUGACUAUUUCAGUAGUUGGUUAAGUCCAUAAAAAUAUUAUUCGAAAUAAUAAAAAUAUUUCAAAAACUAAAUAUUCAUAUUUAGUUUUGUUACUAAGAUUCUAAUAGAACGAGGAUAAAGAUAGAGUCCUUUUUUACAAUCUAUAUAAUUUGUAUUUAAUAGAUAAUUGUAAAAAGAAAAUCCGUUGG
rnacentral:ncRNA from 1 species